GCAAGUCGAGCGGUAGCACAGAGAAGCUUGCUUCUUGGGUGACGAGCGGCGGACGGGUGAGUAACGCGUGGGAAUCUACCUGGUAGUGGGGGACAACAGUCGGAAACGACUGCUAAUACCGCAUACGCCCUUUGGGGGAAAGUGGGGGAUCUUCGGACCUCACGCUAUCAGAUGAGCCCGCGUCGGAUUAGCUUGUUGGUGAGGUAAAGGCUCACCAAGGCGAUGAUCCGUAGCUGGUCUGAGAGGAUGACCAGCCACACUGGGACUGAGACACGGCCCAGACUCCUACGGGAGGCAGCAGUGGGGAAUAUUGGACAAUGGGGGCAACCCUGAUCCAGCCAUGCCGCGUGUGUGAAGAAGGCCUUCGGGUUGUAAAGCACUUUCAGCUGUGAGGAAAGGCGAGUGGUUAAUACCCGCUUGCUGUGACGUUAACAGCAGAAGAAGGACCGGCUAACUCCGUGCCAGCAGCCGCGGUAAUACGGAGGGUCCGAGCGUUAAUCGGAAUUACUGGGCGUAAAGCGCGCGUAGGUGGUUCAGUCAGUCAGAUGUGAAAGCCCCGGGCUCAACCUGGGAACUGCACCUGAUACUGCUGAGCUAGAGUACGGUAGAGGGUAGUGGAAUUUCCGGUGUAGCGGUGAAAUGCGUAGAGAUCGGAAGGAACACCAGUGGCGAAGGCGACUACCUGGACCGAUACUGACACUGAGGUGCGAAAGCGUGGGUAGCAAACAGGAUUAGAUACCCUGGUAGUCCACGCCGUAAACGAUGUCAACUAGCCGUUGGGGGACUUGAUCCUUUAGUGGCGAAGCUAACGCGAUAAGUUGACCGCCUGGGGAGUACGGCCGCAAGGUUACAACUCAAUGAAUUGACGGAA
rnacentral:rRNA from 1 species